AUGUAACUGUCAACCAGUCCGGCAUCGAUGCGCCUUCUACAACCACGUGACGACUGCUCGCUACGUUUUGUUAGCC
rnacentral:sRNA from 1 species